GAAGAUCUAGGGACUAUCAAAGGAGCGAAAGCUACUAUGUCGACCAGGAAGCAAUUCCACGAUUCUGCAAGGGCCUCCCAGUGCUAUUUACUUUAUGGACAAAAGUAGAGGCAGAAAUCAGAAGGCUGGAAAGUGAAUGAAUCAUCAAAACCAGUCCAGACUGCAGAACAGGCAGUACCGCUUGUACUGAUUGACAGGAACCAUCCACGUAAAACAUCUGGCCCUGAACUAAACCAGGAACAUGAGAAUUCUCAAGGAUACAGGCUAUCAUGGCAGUUCCCAGUUGCCCUUGAAAAGGUAGUGGUGAGCUGCCUUCUUGUACUUCUGCAGUCCAUGAGCUCUAUGUGGACCUAUAAUGCCCUAGCGAUGGAAUUCCAGGAUUUUGACCCAGCCACAGUAAAGGAAUGGCGAUAUAUUUCCAAAUCAGGAUGGUGGCUGACUUGGAGGGGAACUUCAACUUGAUGAUGAAUUUCUUUCGAGCUGAAUAUUUUCAUUUGCUAAGGUUCAGCAGAAGCGCAAUCAAUCGAUCCAGCCAUAGCAGGAUUCUCAUCACUGUGGUGACAGCACAACAAUGAUGAUGCAGAGAAAUGGAGAGGAAUAAGCUCAGAACCAACAGUAAACUCCAGUGGCUGCUGACAACCUCCAUGCGAAGAGGUUGCUACUGAAGUACCCCUUAGGAUGUGGAGGAGACCCAGAGUCUACCACCCUCAAUGCCAUUUCCUCCAGAUGGGUGAGGCAGUGUACAAGAGGGGCUAAAAUUGAUGAUGAUGCUCAACAGCUGCAUGACCUCGAAUGAGUCCUGUGAACAUUCCUAUACGUGCCAAAGAUGGCACAAUCAGGAAUAUUUUCUGUUUUUGCUUUUCUGUACUUGCUGUUUGUCACACUGUAUAAGAGAGAUACAAUUUGUUCUGAGUCAUUGAACUUCACCUUGGGAUUGCAAACGGUGCUAGGAACAAACCUAAGCCUCCAGUCCAGCCAUAGAAUGAGGGGUCCGCAAUGGGCAGAAGACAAUAUGACUUAUUGCUUUUCUUUUUUCCUACUUUUCCAUUUCUUUAUUAUUACUUAAUAAACAUUCAUAUUUGAGCAAAU